UCCAUAGGUUAAUGAGGCGAACCGGGGGAACUGAAACAUCUAAGUACCCCGAGGAAAAGAAAUCAACCGAGAUUCCCCCAGUAGCGGCGAGCGAACGGGGAGGAGCCCAGAGCCUGAAUCAGCAUGUGUGUUAGUGGAAGCGUCUGGAAAGGCGCGCGAUACAGGGUGACAGCCCCGUACACAAAAGCGCAUGUGCUGUGAGCUCGAUGAGUAGGGCGGGACACGUGGUAUCCUGUCUGAAUAUGGGGGGACCAUCCUCCAAGGCUAAAUACUCCUGACUGACCGAUAGUGAACCAGUACCGUGAGGGAAAGGCGAAAAGAACCCCGGCGAGGGGAGUGAAAAAGAACCUGAAACCGUG
rnacentral:rRNA from 3 species